UAGGGCGGGACACGUGUUAUCCUGUCUGAAUAUGGGGGGACCAUCCUCCAAGGCUAAAUACUCCUGAUUGACCGAUAGUGAACCAGUACCGUGAGGGAAAGGCGAAAAGAACCCCGGCGAGGGGAGUGAAAUAGAACCUGAAACCGUGUACGUACAAGCAGUGGGAGCCUUGAUUUAUCAGGGUGACUGCGUACCUUUUGUAUAAUGGGUCAGCGACUUAUAUUCUGUAGCAAGGUUAACCGUAUAGGGGAGCCGUAGGGAAACCGAGUCUUAACUGGGCGAAUGAGUUGCAGGGUAUAGACCCGAAACCCGGUGAUCUAGCCAUGGGCAGGUUGAAGGUUGGGUAACACUAACUGGAGGACCGAACCGACUAAUGUUGAAAAAUUAGCGGAUGACUUGUGGCUGGGGGUGAAAGGCCAAUCAAACCGGGAGAUAGCUGGUUCUCCCCGAAAGCUAUUUAGGUAGCGCCUCGUGAACUCAUCUUCGGGGGUAGAGCACUGUUUCGACUAGGGGGUCAUCCCGACUUACCAACUCGAUGCAAACUACGAAUACCGAAGAAUGUUAUCACGGGAGACACACGGCGGGUGCUAACGUUCGUCGUGAAGAGGGAAACAACCCAGACCGCCAGCUAAGGUCCCAAAGUCAUAGUUAAGUGGGAAACGAAGUGGGAAGGCUCAGACAGCCAGGAUGUUGGCUUAGAAGCAGCCAUCAUUUAAAGAAAGCGUAAUAGCUCACUGGUCGAGUCGGCCUGCGCGGAAGAUGUAACGGGGCUAAACUAUGCACCGAAGCUGCGGCAGCGAUAUGUAAAUAUUGUUGGGUAGGGGAGCGUUCUGUAAGCCUG
rnacentral:rRNA from 1 species